rnacentral:tRNA from 1 species
GCUUCCGUAGUGUAGUUGGUUAUCACGUCGGCUUUACACGCUGAAGGUCCUCAGUUCGAACCUGGGCGGAAGCA